GGCAGAGUGCCAGAGUGGUUAAUGGGUAGGUCUUGAAAACCUAUGGUUCCGGCCUCGCAGGUUCGAAUCCUGUCUCUGUCG
rnacentral:tRNA from 1 species